CUGGAGUCCAGACAACUAGGAAAGACCGACUGUCUUGAGGUCAAGAACAGUUGCAGUCACAGGCCUGGCUCUGUUCCCUGUUUCGAAGAGAAGAUUGGGAUGGGUCACCAUUAAGAACGGUACUUUAUUGGUGGUUCUGCCUUCAAAACACCCACCAAGCCAAGCCACUGUCACCUUCCUCUGGAUGAGGCAGGACCCUUGCAAGUGACUGCCCACCUCCACCUGCCCCUGCACGGCCCACUCUCCAUCCGCAAGCCCA